rnacentral:misc_RNA from 1 species
GGAGGUAAAAGUCGUAACAAGGUUUCCGUAGGUGAACCUGCGGAAGGAUCAUUAUUGUAUAACCGAGGUGCGAGGGCUGUCGCUGACCCGAAAGGUCGUGCACGCCCGAGUGCCCUCACACACAUCCAUCUCACCCCUAUGUGCACCACCGCGUGGGUCCCCCUUUGGCUUGUUCGGAGGGGGGCUUACGUUUUCACACAAACUUUGUAUGCAGUGUAGAAUGUAUUUUUUGUUUUUGCGAUCACGCAAUCAAUACAACUUUCAACAACGGAUCUCUUGGCUCUU